rnacentral:rRNA from 2 species
GAGUUUGAUCGUGGCUCAGAUUGAACGCUGGCGGCAUGCCUUACUACAUGCAAGUCGAACGGCAGCACGGGAGGCAAUCCUGGUGGCGAGUGGCGAACGGGUGAGUAAUACAUCGGAACGUGCCCAGUAGUGGGGGAUAACGUACUCGAAAGAGUAGCUAAUACCGCAUACGACCUGAGGUGAAGCGGGGAUCGCAAGACCUCGCGCUAUUGGAGCGGCCGAUGUCAGAUUAGCUAGUUGGU